AGGUGAUCUAGCCAUGGGCAGGUUGAAGGUUGAGUAACAUCAACUGGAGGACCGAACCGACUAAUGUUGAAAAAUUAGCGGAUGACUUGUGGCUAGGGGUGAAAGGCCAAUCAAACCUGGAGAUAGCUGGUUCUCCCCGAAAGCUAUUUAGGUAGCGCCUCGGACGAAUACUACUGGGGGUAGAGCACUGUUAAGGCUAGGGGGUCAUCCCGACUUACCAACCCUUUGCAAACUCCGAAUACCAGUAAGUACUAUCCGGGAGACACACGGCGGGUGCUAACGUCCGUCGUGGAGAGGGAAACAACCCAGACCGCCAGCUAAGGUCCCAAAUUACUACUAAGUGGGAAACGAUGUGGGAAGGCUCAGACAGCCAGGAUGUUGGCUUAGAAGCAGCCAUCAUUUAAAGAAAGCGUAAUAGCUCACUGGUCGAGUCGGCCUGCGCGGAAGAUGUAACGGGGCUAAGUAGUAAACCGAAGCUGCGGCAAUGUGCUUUUGCACAUUGGGUAGGGGAGCGUUCUGUAAGCGGUUGAAGGUGUGUGGUAACGCAUGCUGGACGUAUCAGAAGUGCGAAUGCUGACAUGAGUAACGAUAAAGGGGGUGAAAAACCUCCUCGCCGGAAGACCAAGGGUUCCUG
rnacentral:rRNA from 1 species